rnacentral:rRNA from 1 species
CAGUCGCCGCGGGAAUACGAAGGGUGCAAGCGUUACUCGGAAUUACUGGGCGUAAAGCGUGCGUAGGCGGUUAUAUAAGACAGAUGUGAAAUCCCCGGGCUCAACCUGGGAACUGCAUUUGUGACUGUAUAGCUAGAGUACGGCAGAGGGGGAUGGAAUUCCGCGUGUAGCAGUGAAAUGCGUAGAUAUGCGGAGGAACACCGAUGGCGAAGGCAAUCCCCUGGGCCUGUACUGACGCUCAUGCACGAAAGCGUGGGGAGCAAACAGGAUUAGAUACCCCAGUAGUCCCUGUCUCUUAUAC